UCUGCCUUUGGUUCGGGACAACAGUUGGAAACGACUGCUAAUACCGAAUGUGCUUAACAGUGAAAGAUUUAUUGCCUGGAGAUGAGCUCGCGUCUGAUUAGCUAGUUGGUGGGGUAAAAGCCUACCAAGGCGACGAUCAGUAGCUGGUCUGAGAGGAUGAUCAGCCACACUGGGACUGAGACACGGCCCAGACUCCUACGGGAGGCAGCAGUGGGGAAUUUUCCGCAAUGGGCGAAAGCCUGACGGAGCAACGCCGCGUGAGGGAGGAAGGCUUUUGGGUUGUAAACCUCUUUUAUCAAGGAAGAUAAUGACGGUACUUGAUGAAUCAGCAUCGGCUAACUCCGUGCCAGCAGCCGCGGUAAUACGGAGGAUGCAAGCGUUAUCCGGAAUAAUUGGGCGUAAAGCGUUCGUAGGUGGUUUUGUAAGUCUGCUGUUAAAGCGUGUAGCUCAACUACAUAUAGGCAGUGGAAACUACAAGACUUGAGUGCGUUCGGGGUAGAGGGAAUUCCUGGUGUAACGGUGAAAUGCGUAGAGAUCAGGAAGAACACCGGUGGCGAAGGCGCUCUACUAGGCCGCAACUGACACUGAGGGACGAAAGCUAGGGGAGCGAAUGGGAUUAG
rnacentral:rRNA from 1 species